rnacentral:rRNA from 1 species
CGUUCCCGGGCCUUGUACACACCGCCCGUCACACCACGGGAGUUGGCAACACCCAAAGUCGGUGAGGUAACCUUCGGGAGCCAGCCGCCUAAGGUGGGGUCGAUGACUGGGGUG